UAAACAGAAGUUGGUGUGUCUGUCUUCACUUACAGAAAAGCAGCACAUGCAGUUCAGAUCAGCUCUCUGCUAACAGAAGCAUCAUUGAAAAAGCCACCCGAAGAAGCACGAAUGAAUGGCUGGUGAAUUAGGCAUAUUUAUUAAUGUAAUUGCGGUUGCAAGAGGGAAGUACACCUGAUGCAGUUGUGCUUGUGCUUUGAUGUGAAUCAGACACAAUUACACAUAAAAUCCAGAAAUCUGCAGAAAAACCCCAAUAUAGUGCAGUUGUUAGAGAACAGGAGCACUGGCCCCAGAUAAUAGUUAAAGGAGAAAUAAACCCUAACAAAUGAACAUGGCCCGAGUAAUAUGUUAUGGCCAUACCAAAUUUUGUAUAUUGAAUAUACUGAAUGAACCCAAAGGUUCUGCACCUCAAUAGUAAUAAAGGAUUCAGGCCAGGGAGUAACAACUAAUUAUCCAUGCAAUUGCUUCCAGGGACUUUUGAACACUCAUGGCAGAGGAUAUAAUUGUGCCUCCCCCGACCACCCCUCACCCUCAUCCAUAAUGAAGUGCAAGGACAUUUCCCUUAGAACAGGAGACAAUGUAUGAAAAACACCUUGCUUUUGCUAUGCACCUUGCCUAUACAUAAUAAAGUUUAUUGCAACAAACAAGUAGAUUAUUACUGUUGAUUAUAUUUUGUGGACAGUCCCUUUCAUAGACUAAAUAAGCAUCCAAGUAGGAUUCUGAUGGCUUCGUGUUUUACUGUGUUUAAUCUAGCCAAGUGACUUUUUUGAGGUUCCUCAGUCAGAUGUUAUUAUUAUUGGUAUUGUCUUUUUUAUAUUUUAUUACUUGUUAUAAGAAAUACUUAUUGUAAAUGCAUUUUUGUGAUGUCAGCCAUAUAAGAAUCAACUGCUAUCUGUAGAUAAAGUAAGAGAAAAUGAGAUUAUCUGAUAUA